rnacentral:rRNA from 1 species
GAUGAACGCUAGCGACAGGCCUAACACAUGCAAGUCGAGGGGCAGCACAUGCGUAGCAAUACGGAUCCUAGAGUAGCGUAAGGGUGCGUAACACGUAUGCAAUCUACCCACAACUGGAGGAUAGCUCUUCGAAAGAGGAAUUAAUACUUCAUAGGACCAUUAGAGGGCAUCUGAUGAUGGUUAAACUACGGGGUAGUGGAUGAGCAUGCGUCUGAUUAGUUAGUUGGCGGGGUAACGGCCCACCAAGACGAUGAUCAGUAGGGGAAGUGAGAGGUUGGUCCCCCACACUGGCACUGAGAUACGGGCCAGACUCCUACGGGAGGCAGCAGUAGGGAAUAUUGGACAAUGAGUGAGAGCCUGAUCCAGCCAUGCCGCGUGCAGGAAGAAAGCCUUCUGGGUUGUAAACUGCUUUUUUCAGGGGAUAAAAUACCGGUGCGCCGGGAAUUGCAAGUACCUGGAGAAUAAGCCACGGCUAACUACGUGCCAGCCGCCGCAGUAACAC